rnacentral:rRNA from 1 species
UACGUAGGGGGCAAGCGUUGUCCGGAAUCAUUGGGCGUAAAGCGCGCGUAGGCGGCCCGGUAAGUCCGCCGUAAAAGUCAAAGGCUCAACCUUUGAAUGUCAGUGGAUACUGCCGGGCUAGAGUCCGGAAGAGGCGAGUGGAACUCCUGGUGUAGCGGUGGAAUGCGCAGAUAUCAGGAAGAACACCGACGGCGAAGGCAGCUCGCUGGGACGGUACUGACGCUGAGGCGCGAAAGCGUGGGGAGCGAACAGG